GUUAGGAAUCUUCCACAAUGGGGGCAACCCUGAUGGAGCAACACCGCGUGCUGGAUGAAGGCCUUCGGGUCGUAAACAGCUUUUGUAUACGAAGAACAUGACGGUAAUAUACGAAUAAGGGUCGGCUAACUACGUGCCAGCAGCCGCGGUCAUACGUAGGACCCAAGCGUUAUCCGGAGUGACUGGGCGUAAAGAGUUGCGUAGGCGGCUUAUUAAGCGAGUAGUGAAAUCUGGUGGCUCAACCAUCAACACAUUGCUCGAACUGAUAGGCUUGAGAAUGGUAGAGGUAGUUGGAAUUUCUUGUGUAGGAGUGAAAUCCGUAGAUAUAAGAAGGAACACCAAUGGCGUAGGCAGACUACUGGACCAUUUCUGACGCUGAGGCACGAAAGCGUGGGGAGCGAACCGGAUUAGAUACCCGGGUAGUCC
rnacentral:rRNA from 1 species